UCUCCGUAGGUGAACCUGCGGAGGGAUCAUUACAAGUUGACCCCGGCCCUCGGGCCGGGAUGUUCACAACCCUUUGUUGUCCGACUCUGUUGCCUCCGGGGCGACCCUGCCUCCGGGCGGGGGCCCCGGGUGGACAUUUCAAACUCUUGCGUAACUUUGCAGUCUGUUAGGGGGGCUGUCUUGGCUCUUCUCUCAACAACAUGGUGUGUUAUCCAACCGAUUGCACUAUGCAUCAACACCUCCAAUAUGACUGAGUAUAAAAACAAAAGGACUGGUAAAAAGGUUCUUGAGUUGUAAUAUAAACAAAAACAACUCUCAGCAACGGAUAUCUUGGCUCUC
rnacentral:misc_RNA from 1 species